rnacentral:tRNA from 1 species
GUACCUAUGGUGUAGUGGUUAUAACAUCCGCCUACCGCGCGGCAGGUUCCAGGAUCGAAACCUGGUAGGCACA